AUGAUUUUAUUUGGCCCUUAUGUUAUGCUUGUAAUUAUUUUCUAUCAGGUCAUUCACUAUUAAGAGUUAUGUUUAUAAAUCAAUCAUGGCCAUAUUAAGUUUUGUCAUCUACAGAUAAGUUUUUACUUUGCUGAUUUUUUGGAAAACAUUUGACCAGAAUAUCUCAACAAGAAAGAUGGACUAUAUUAAACUUGCAAAAAAGACUGUGACUAGACUCGAUCAAGAUCUCCAGAAUUUUUAUGCAGAAGCUGAUGGUUUCGCAGACCGCGGUGAAUCCAGAAUCACUUGGAACAGAAGUUAACUUCAUGAGACCAAAUCCUGGUGAAGAACCAGAUGGUAUCCAGUGGAAAACCAGCACCACGAGUUUAAAGAACCCGCCAUGGUUGUCAUCUAGGAGCUCAACUAAGUCCAGUCGUCAAGAAUCUCUGAAGCUACGAAUCCAAUCAAACUUGAGGAGACCUGGACUGCGGGGCAGAAGCUGGCAAAAGAGGUCCUAUGUUCUGGACCCACGUGUUCCCACUCCAUGUCCCUUCAACACCCGACAGGAUGAAAAACAAGUGAUAGGAUCUGGGAACGAAGGAGUCAGGAGACGGUGAUAUCAGAAGACCAAACUUCAGUGAUGCCAGAAGGGACCCUAAGGAUACCUUGAAAAGGUCAUCACAUCUGGCAGGCAGUUUGCAAGACCACCUCAAAGGGGAAUUAAAAAUUCUCCAGAUUCCUUGGACUUAGCCUUUCUUUCCUUAUAAAGCCCUCCAGCUGGCCCUUUUGGGGAAGACCGAGUUUGGGAGGAACGUAUCCCCUCUGUCUCUUGCAUACCGGUAUUCAAUAAAGCCCUCUUGCUGCUUACCUCCCUCCUGUCUCAGUGUUGGCUUUGUGGCAGGCAGCUCAAAUCUGUGAUUUGCGGUAACAGUGGCAGCUCCUGACCUGUGUUAUGAAAUGUAAGGGAGAAGUGGUAGUUCCAUACCUUUUUUAUGAUACUGCUUCUCAAUGAAAAAGCACAAAGUUAAAAUUAAAAUUGGUAGCUUUAAAGUACUUUCCAGCUGGAGGAACUAACGUAUUUAAGGUCUAAAAUAAAAGGCUAGGUGUCUAGCCAGCAGAAUGAAUUAAGUUCAAAAAGAAGGAAACCAAAAGGUUGAAACUUAGAGCUUAAUAUCUUUGAUAAAUAAGCCUGGAUUCCCCCCCUCCGCCCCCUCCCCUCCCAGCAACUGAGACACUGGUUUGGGGUUCAUAUUGAAAAAUGCUAUAAACUGAGUUUACUAAAACCCACUGCCAUUGAGUCGAUUCCAACUCAUAGUAACCCUAUAGCACAGAGUAGAGCUGCCCCAUAGGGUUUCCAAGGAGUACCGGGUAGUUUCCAACCACUGACGUUUUUGUUAGCAGCUGUAGCUCUUAACCACCAUAGCACCAGGGUUUCCACUGAGUAUACUGGAAUUUAAAAUUUCAGUGAUCAUUUUGGGAAAAUGAACUUUGAUUUGUGUUGUCUUUUCCUCUUUGGGAAAUUUGCUUGAUGCUUACGUUUUAUCAAAAGGUCUAAUAUUCCACCAUUUGAAGGUCUGGCAAGUUACUAAGUUUUAUCUAGAACCUGUUUUUCCCAUUGAAUUGAGUCAAUCUUACCAAAAUUGCUGCAAACACUUUAAGAAACUGGAAUCCCCAUAUCCCUGUUUUGUGUGGUAUGGUUCGGUGAGCUGAUGUGAUUUUUCUGUCUCUUUUUGUUCUAAGAGCUUGCCUCUGCUCUAGAGUGUUGUAUCUAAGUUGCUGUCUUGUAUCAAGUUAGAGGCUAUGGCUAAGAAUUGCUGAAUUUUUUUAAGGUUGUCUCAGAACCUCAGUUCUUCCUCUUUCAGAAAAACUGUGUCUUGUGUCUGUUUUAGGAUUUAGGCUUCUAGUAGCAACUUGGAGAAGCUGAUAUAAGUUGGUCUGUUCAAAAAGUACACCAAGAUCUUUAUGUUCUGUAUGUCAAUCUUAGAAGCGAAACCUUUCUAAGUAACUUAAGCUA